rnacentral:rRNA from 1 species
CAGCCGCCGCGGUAAUACCGGCGGCCCGAGUGGCGGCCACUAUUAUUGGGCUUAAAGCGUCCGUAGCCGGGUUGGUUAGUCUCCCGGGAAAUCUGGCCGCUUAACGGUCAGAAUUCCGGGAGAUACUGCCAGCCUAGGGACCGGGAGAGGCCGAGGGUAUUCCCGGAGUAGGGGUGAAAUCCUAUAAUCCCGGGAGGACCACCUGUGGCGAAGGCGCUCGGCUGGAACGGGUCCGACGGUGAGGGACGAAGGCCAGGGGAGCAAACCGGAUUAGAUACCCGGAUAGUCCUGGCUGUAAACGAUGCGGACUUUGUGUCGGACAAGCUAUGAGCUUGUCCGGUGCCGGAGGGAAACCGUUAAGUCCGCCGCCUGGGGAGUACGGCCGCAAGGCUGAAACUUAAAGGAAUUGGCGGG